AUUAGUGAAGAGAUGAAAAUAAUGAAACUGUAUGGUGCAGAAAGUGUUUUUUCAUUGCAGUUUCUGCUGCUGGGAAAGCGGUAGAUCACUAUGGCUUCUGUACCGUGAAAUGAAGCUUAUGAUAAAUAAAAUACUGCUGCUUGCUGGUCACUGAUUGAAGAUCGUUCAGUGACUACCAUUGGCCAAUCUCACCAACGGGAUAUAAUAAGAACUGAUGCAGGUUUAUAUCUAUUUGGAACAAAGUUAGUACACUUUUUAAACCGAUGUUGGAUUUUUCUCCAGAUACAGGCAACCCACUUAACUUUGGAAGUAGUGCGCUGGAUUCGUUUAAAGAUAUGCUAAACAACCGG